rnacentral:rRNA from 1 species
UUAUGAGAGUUUGAUCCUGGCUCAGGACGAACGCUGGCGGCGUGCCUAAUACAUGCAAGUCGAACGCUUCUUUUUCCACCGGAGCUUGCUCCACCGGAAAAAGAGGAGUGGCGAACGGGUGAGUAACACGUGGGUAACCUGCCCAUCAGAAGGGGAUAACACUUGGAAACAGGUGCUAAUACCGUAUAACAAUCGAAACCGCAUGGUUUUGAUUUGAAAGGCGCUUUCGGGUGUCGCUGAUGGAUGGACCCGCGGUGCAUUAGCUAGUUGGUGAGGUAACGGCUCACCAAGGCCACGAUGCAUAGCCGACCUGAGAGGGUGAUCGGCCACAUUGGGACUGAGACACGGCCCAAACUCCUACGGGAGGCAGCAGUAGGGAAUCUUCGGCAAUGGACGAAAGUCUGACCGAGCAACGCCGCGUGAGUGAAGAAGGUUUUCGGAUCGUAAAACUCUGUUGUUAGAGAAGAACAAGGAUGAGAGUAACUGUUCAUCCCUUGACGGUAUCUAACCAGAAAGCCACGGCUAACUACGUGCCAGCAGCCGCGGUAAUACGUAGGUGGCAAGCGUUGUCCGGAUUUAUUGGGCGUAAAGCGAGCGCAGGCGGUUAUCCGGGAGUCAGACUGUGAGUGAUAAGAUCCAUAGUCGAAAGGGAAACAACUGGGAGACUUGAGUGCAGAAGAGGAGAGUGGAAUUCCAUGUGUAGCGGUGAAAUGCGUAGAUAUAUGGAGGAACACCAGUGGCGAAGGCGGCUCUCUGGUCUGUAACUGACGCUGAGGCUCGAAAGCGUGGGGAGCAAACAGGAUUAGAUACCCUGGUAGUCCACGCCGUAAACGAUGAGUGCUAAGUGUUGGAGGGUUUCCGCCCUUCAGUGCUGCAGCUAACGCAUUAAGCACUCCGCCUGGGGAGUACGACCGCAAGGUUGAAACUCAAAGGAAUUGACGGGGGCCCGCACAAGCGGUGGAGCAUGUGGUUUAAUUCGAAGCAACGCGAAGAACCUUACCAGGUCUUGACAUCCUUUGACCACUCUAGAGAUAGAGCUUCCCCUUCGGGGGCAAAGUGACAGGUGGUGCAUGGUUGUCGUCAGCUCGUGUCGUGAGAUGUUGGGUUAAGUCCCGCAACGAGCGCAACCCUUAUUGUUAGUUGCCAUCAUUCAGUUGGGCACUCUAGCAAGACUGCCGGUGACAAACCGGAGGAAGGUGGGGAUGACGUCAAAUCAUCAUGCCCCUUAUGACCUGGGCUACACACGUGCUACAAUGGGAAGUACAACGAGUUGCGAAGUCGCGAGGCUAAGCUAAUCUCUUAAAGCUUCUCUCAGUUCGGAUUGCAGGCUGCAACUCGCCUGCAUGAAGCCGGAAUCGCUAGUAAUCGCGGAUCAGCACGCCGCGGUGAAUACGUUCCCGGGCCUUGUACACACCGCCCGUCACACCACGAGAGUUUACAGGUCUCUGCAAAAUCGUAAGAUGAAGUAUAGGGGCUGACGCCUGCCCGGUGCUGGAAGUGGGGUGAAGUCGUAACAAGGUAGCCGUAUCGGAAGGUGCGGCUGGAUCACCUCCUUU